rnacentral:lncRNA from 1 species
GGUUUAUCAUUUGAUGUGCUUUUUAUUGUGUAUUUUUUCAUUGAAAAGAGUUUUUAUUUUUUUUCCUUGCUUCGAAUUUGACUCCUUUUCAAAAACUAGUUUUUUUUUUCUGGGGACCUUUGGUUUUCUGGUUUAGUUUAUUUCAUAUGUUUAAUAGUUUGUAAUGGUCUCUUAGUGCCUCAAUUAAUCAAUAGUUUGGUUUAAUGUUGAACCAAUUUUUUAUAGUGCUUAGUGUAUUAGGUAUUAGUUUAGUCAAACAUAGUAACAUAAUGCAACGAUGUUGUUGUUUUCAUUGUUUAGAUAUUGCAUUUGUAUUAUAUAUUGUAUUACAAUAUUUUUUGUUGGCUUUUGUGUGUAUGCA